UACGUAGGGUGCAAGCGUUAAUCGGAAUUACUGGGCGUAAAGCGUGCGCAGGCGGCUUUGCAAGACAGAUGUGAAAUCCCCGGGCUUAACCUGGGGACUGCAUUUGAUACGUGUCGUCUUGAGUUCGGAAGAGGGUCGUGGAAUUCCCAGUGUAGAGGUGAAAUUCGUAGAUAUUGGGAAGAACACCGGUGGCGAAGGCGGCGACCUGGUCCGAUACUGACGCUGAGGCGCGAAAGCGUGGGAGCAAACAGG
rnacentral:rRNA from 1 species